CCUCUAAUUAGGGACGGAGGGAGU
rnacentral:miRNA from 1 species